UACGUAGGCAGCGAGCGUUUGUUCGGAAUUACUGGGCGUAAAGAGUGUGUAGGCGGUGCUCUAAGUUCGGUGUGAAAUCUCCCGGCUUAACUGGGAGGGUGCGCCGGAAACUGGAGUGCUCGAGCGUGGGAGAGGAAAGGCGGAAGUUCCUGGUGUAGCGGUGAAAUGCGUAGAUAUCAGGAGGAACACCUGCGGUGUAGACGGCUUUCUGGACCAUUGCUGACGCUGAGACACGAAAGCGUGGGUAGCAAACAGG
rnacentral:rRNA from 1 species